AUCAUUGAAUUUAUCCCCAUCUGUAUAAUCAGAUCAUUGAGCUUUUAAGCAGAUCAUUGAAGUUUAUAUAAUGCUGCCCAGCCAGCAAUAUAUAUAGAAGAUAAUCGCAAAGAUUUGAUCUUUGAACAUAACAAGACUUACAAUGUUUAAUCACAGCUUCUUACGAUUCAAUUAUCCAAUCUUUGUGCAUAAUUUGUCAAGACUUACAGUGUUUAAUCACAGCUUGCCAGCCUUACGAUUCAAUUAUCUAAUAUUUGAACAUAAUUUGACAAGACUUACAGUUUUUGAUCACAGCUUGCCUGUCUUACGAUUCAAUUAUCCGAUAUUUGAACAUAAAUCUGACAAGACUUACAGUGUUUAAUCACAGCUUGCCCCUGCCUUACUUAGG